rnacentral:tRNA from 1 species
GCGGGGGUUGCCAAGCCCGGUCAACGGCGUGAGAUCAGACAGAUGUGUCGACACGACGCUCAGAUGUUAUAGCCUGACUGAGGUACCUCAUCUCUUAGGGGUUCGUGGGUUCAAAUCCCACCUCCCGCA